CUCAGUGCAUACGAUGAGGCCCCCUCAGAGGAGCCAGUGCUGAAUCAGCUUCAGGAAAGCAUGAAGCUUUUCUCCUCUGUCUGCAACACCGUGUUCUUCCAAAGCACUUCCCUGUGGCGUCUGCCUUAUGAGCACUGAGUUCCUGCAGCCCAAGCCAGGGGUGGUCAAUCAAUCCAGUUCCUGACAGGAUAACUGGGCCCAGAACUGGGACCUCCGGCCACCUCCUCCGUUCCCCACAAGGGCCCUCUGGCUGCCUCAGAUCUUGUUUCUGAAUAAAAUCAACCUUCUCCAAGAGAAGAUCCUGCACCUGGGAAGGCACCUGCGUCUCUCCUUUCCUCAGUACAUGAAUAGGCUCCCUCCACCCCACUCUGUCCCUGGGUGCUCACCAAGCAGGAUGCUUUGCAGCUGAGGUGGCAGGGCAUGGUGCUGCUGCUCCUUCUCCUGGGUUUGCACAAGGGGCAGAAGCAGCACAUAAACAGACUGCCAGAUGUGACCCAGUGGGUGGCGCGAGCAGUAGGGAGCCAGGUGCAGGAUGGGAAAUGGUUUAGAUGACCUCCCUGCCUCUCCAGAUGUGUCUUUAUAAAAGAAACGUCUGCAAGUGGAUUUUAUCUCUAAGUUCCUGCUCCUCUGCCUGAGCUGCGAUUAGCAAACCAGAGCCUCAGUGUAGUGAAGAUCCUCUCUAGCUGCUGAAUUUUACAGGAGAUCUUGGCAUGGCAGGAGCGGUCAGUGUUUGGAAUUUUGGUUUGUCGCAGCAUCCCUGUUCUGGGGUCUGAGAGGGCAGCAUGUGCACUCAUGACACACUAAUUAGCCUCCGGCAUGGGGGCUGGGGUCCCAUGUGUUCAUGUAGCAGAGCAGUUACAAGGCAGGGGGCAGUUUACCUGGCACUGCUGAGCCCUGGGGCCUAUUAAUCGUUAGCUUUACUCUAACACCCUCAUCCCCUCUACUGGAGCAAACCAGCGGGGAAUGGUUUCCUUAGGGCCAAGUCCUACAGCAUACUGAGCAGCCGUAGCCCCCGGGAGCCUCACCUUGCAGGGCAUGGUCUUGCUCAGCUCCGGGAGGGGAAACCACAAGAUGGCGAGGAGCUGAGGCUUUUGUGUCCUGUGGAGCAUCACAGCCCACACCUGUGCCUUGAGAACAUCUGCACUGGGGGCUCCUUUGGCUUUUCUCGAGGUCUGUAGUUGGUGCCAUAUGGUCCCAAGGAACAGAACCAUUCCUAAGGGUGCUUCUUGCUGGGACUGAAAGCCAGGUGCUGCAACCCAGCUUAGUCCCCUCUUCUGGACAGUCACUAAUCUGCUGUACCUGGGCCAAAUCCACCUAGCUUUAAGCCCGAGACUCUGGGUCUCUAGAGCACACUCCUCAUCCCUCUCGAGCCCCUAGUCAUUCUCACAUUAUGCCCAGAUUUCCACCUAGCUGUGGAUGCUCUGGCUUCUAGUUUAAGCCCUUCAGGAGCAACAUGGUGGGAAGGCAGGGAACACAAGUUUAGCAAGGGGAUUUCUUAUCCACGGUCACUUUACUCUUAUAAGGGCUAGAGAGUUAUGGAUCUUUGCAAACUGACAAACAGUCCUCAGAUGCCCCCUCCCCUACUCUGAGCUCAUCCCUUCUGGGAGUCUGAAGUCUGCAUGUCAGGCCAGGCAGAAUCCUUCUGUCUCUCCCUCCAGCCCAGACUUCUGGCGUGUGAUGACCCCACUUCUCUGAGAGCACCUUCUCUAAAAUAAUCUUACUCCCUUUAACCCUGUGCCUAAACUGAGAAACUCCAGUCAGGCAUCUGUAGAGAGUUACUGGUGAGAUGGGUAGGACCAGCAGUGAGAGACAAUCCACGCUGAUGCUAGAUUGCUCUGAUGGCUCCUUAGUCAUUGUCAUGCAGCCAGGUGUCCAGUACCUGGCCUGUGCCAGGCUCCUGGCUGGACUGCACCAUAACAGACUGGACCUUGUCAAGGCCAGCUGGUUCUUCAAUACAGAAUGCAAAAUGGCAGUCAGCACACACGAGGGAAGCUGGGGAUGUUACAGCCUUGGUGGAGAGGCUGAAUGAGCAUGAGACAAGAAGGUGUGUAAGGUGUUGGCUGAGCCCAGCUGAAAUAAAUAGCUAGGAGCAGAAAGCAGGGUUUGCUGGGGAGUCAAGGGAUGGUCUCAAAACACUGCCAGACUCCGUUCUCUUCCUUGGGAGAGGUGUGGGGGUGGCAAGUGCAGCUCUGUCCCAGCUUGGAGCCAGUUCUCCCCUGAAGAAAUAACCUUGUGUCCCUCCUGGAGCUGCGGAGCAGACAGUGGGAGACCCGGCCCUGAGGUCAGCCAGGAUUAAGCCUUGCGCUGACACCUGGCCUUUUGCCAGUUUCCUGCUAUCUUCCUUAAGUUCCUUUCCUAGCACUGCCCGUGGUUAGACAUCUCCAUUCUAAUUAGUGAUGUCACAGACUGACAUGACACCAGUAGUGUCCAUGGCAGUAAAUUGUGUCACACUUGCGUACUGGGUGGCUGGUUUAUAAAGGCCGACCUGCCCCUCUCUCCAACUCUGUCUAAAGCCCUGCCUGCAUCCCAGCCAUUCUGCACCCGGUCAGGGACUACCCUGCCUGAGCCUCUCCCCUGGCUCAUGCCUGUUGCUGCCCCAAGACCUGGAACAGCCUCACUCUCCCCUUUCCAGCCUCCCCUUAAACUGCCUUUCCCCAGUGCUGAUAGCUCUCCUGCCACAGCCUCCUUGUGCCCCUCUGAAUGGUGAGCUCCUGGGCCUGUGCUGGCCCAUUUGGGCUCGGUGAGCCACAUAGGCUUGUCCAUUACGGAUAGGCCAGGACCUUCAGUAGAUUGCUCCUAGAAGUGGAUUCCCUCUGUACCAGAUGGGGCAGGAGGGCUGCCAUUCAGUUAAAAGCAGCAAAGGCACUGUCCACCCCACCCCUACUGGGGAUGGCCCUCUUCUGUUAUCCUGUCCUGGGAGAGCGCUGUGGGGAUGGGAGUUUGCAUGGUGGGUGUACUGCACAUGGACAAAUGCACCAUGGGCAAAUGGUGGAGAUUUUCCAUCUCACUUGCCCUCAUCUGCUCCCCUGCAGGUGCAGACUGUGAUGUGGGUGCUGCAGCCCGAUUUAUCGCCAGCCUCUUCCUGUUGUACAAUGAGACCCCCCAGAAACUGAUCUACCACCACCACAGAAACAUACAGUGUGCAGGGCGUAUUUCACAUGGUGAUGGACAUCAUCAUCCAGGAAAACCUGGAGGCAGCAGCUCUGCUGCGAAGCGCAGGCAGGGGACGUGCAGUGCCAGGGGCUGCUUUCUGCCUCAGAUUCUGGGGGGAGACUUGCUGCUAGAGUUCAAGUGAGAUGCCGUAUGCUACAGAUGGAGCUGCUCAGUGGGCAGAAGAGGAACAUAUGAUGGCGUCAAAGGGCCUGCCUGGCUCCUGGCACCAUCAUCCCUAAGCCUUCUGUUCUUCUGGGACUAACUCCUGCUUGGCUCCAUCUGGGAUAAGGACCUCUUCCCCCACAUCUUGCCCAGGUUGAGGUGGCACUACCCCUGUGCAUGGUGACUCUAAUCUCUAAGGGGCAGGGCUGAGGUGGGGUCUCUAGGGUUGUACAUGUGCUUUGAAUCUCCCAUUUUCCUCUGCACUGGGCACUGCCCCAUGACUGCAGCUCCUGCCCCAGCCUGUGCUGUGUCC